rnacentral:rRNA from 1 species
GGAGUUUGGACCGUGUCUCAGUUCCAAUGUGGCCGAUCACCCUCUCAGGUCGGCUACUGAUCAUUGCCUUGGUGAGCCGUUACCUCACCAACUAACUAAUCAGACGCAGGCCCAUCCUUUGCCGAUAAAUCUUUGGCCGGAACACCAUGUGGUGUCUCGGUAUCAUCAGGUUUUAAUCCCGGUUUCCCGAGGCUAUCCCUGUGCAAAGGGCAGGUUGCCUACGCGUUACUCACCCGUCCGCCGCUUUCCGCCUGUAAAAUCAACCGAAGCGUCAAUUACAGGUUUCUCGCUCGACUUGCAUGUGUUAGGCACGCCGCCAGCGUUCAUC